UUCGGACGAGAGUUUGAUCACUAGAAUGAAGAUCUUUCCACCAUCUUAGCAGCCUUGGGUGGAUGUUGGUGACCAUGCUGAAUCUAGGGACUCCGUACCUCAUAUUUCUGCAAAACAAAUAAGGUUAGACUCUUACCCCCACCAGACUCGACUAUUUAAUACCAACAAUUAGCAUAAAGCAUUUAGUUCUCCAAAUAAAUGCACAGAACGUGGUAAUGUCCAUUUGGGUUUAGGGAAACCUAGUGGACUUUGGACAAGGCUAUCUUAAAGGAUCAUUAUGUGGACAACAUAACUGACCUGGCUAGGUUUGACCAUGAUGCAUGCACAAUUUGAACAGAGUAAGGUUUCUAUGGUGUUUUAGACUGGUACCCUUGAGCGGACAACUCAAGGGGAAGGCACAGAACUGUCGACUGCACCGCUGAUCGACUAGUUUUACCGCAAAUAUGUCUUUCCAAAUUUAGGGGGUAAUGAUAUAGGAAGAGCGCAACCACUCAUUAUAAGUGUUGCUAUUGUAUUUGAUNNNNNNNNNNNNNNNNNNNNNNNNNAAAAGAAAUUAAAUGCUUAAAGGAAUUAAACAAGUAAUUGCACAUAAGGGAGGGUACAAAUUCACAAGAACAAUCUGAAGUGGUAAAAGCCUAAGUCUCCCUAGUAGAGUCGCCAUGCUGUCGCGCCCCCUUUUUCCCUCUUUGCAUCGGAAAAUCGGGUUUAUGACAUUUUGGGUAUGGGACAACUCAUUCCUUUUGGGAACUGGGUUUGAAUUUGAAGAGUCUCCACCUAAUGAUUUAAGGAGCAUUAGGACACCUAUAGGGUUCAUUUCUAAGUUUGUUUGAUAACCAAAGAUAAGGUAAGAGCUUGAAAUUAUCCUAAGGGGAAGGUUUUAGGCACCCCUCAGGAUCCACUAGUGUGAUUUUCGACCAAUCAGUUCUUGUGAAUUUUGUACAAUUAGAAGAUAGACAAAUAUAUAAUCAAAUAGUAGGGGAUUUAAGUUUGAACAGAUAAGAGUUUGAAAACAAUUAAAAGGCGAAUUUUGAAAAUGAGUUAUAGUUCUACAAAUACUUGAGAAUAUAAAAGGAGGGGGGGUCCUAGGUUUAUUUAUAAUAUGAAUCACAUCAAUGCGAUAUCUGAUAUGACACUCCUCAAAAGAGGGGAUACACUGGCAUUAGCGCACCCGUCAUCAUAUCCAUAUCUACCCUUCACACCCCGUUAAGGUAUUAAAGCGUGGAUUGGUCUCGACCUCUAUCGCAUGCUAUUACCUAUCCAAUUUCUAUCAGUCCCGGAGGAAUUUAGGACUACUAUUCCUAUAAGAGGGAGUAUUUUAGGCUAACUCUUGGGUUAUAAAGGUAAAAAGGCUAAGGCGACAUACAAAACACGUAGGACUGAAUAUUAGAGGAAAACAUAUAAACAAAUAAGAGGCUCAUGUAUACCUCCGCAGACAAUGCACAUAAAUAACAUGACUUAAACACAAUUAGGGUUAGAAUUUAAAGUACUAAUUUAACUAGACUGAUUUAGAUCCUAUAGGCAUGAUCUCUAUUAUAGCUGAUUUUAAUUCCUAUAGACAUGGUAUCUACGUAUUAAAAGCUGAUUUUGGUCCUAUAGGCAUGAUAUCUAUUUGAACAUGCAGUGAAGUAGGCAUAAUUUAUUUGAUUAAAGAGAAAUUCCUAUAGGCAUGAUUUCUAUUAAAAUAAAUUUUAAUCCUAUGGGCAUGAUCUCUAUUUGUGUGAAAGUAAAGCAUGAAGAACUUGAGUUAAAACAUAGCAGAUCCUAUAGGCAUGUUCUCUAUUUUGCGUGAAAGUAAAACAUGCAGAACUUGAAUUAAAACAGAAUAGAUCCUAUAGGCAUGUUCUCUACCCUUCUAAUAGCUAAAACAUGCAUAAUUACCCCAUCCCUUUUCACUAGCCAACCCCAAUAUUUGUUACAAAUUAUUACAGACCAAAUACUGAAUUAUAUCAGAAAAAUGUAAAAUAAGAAGUUACAACCAUAUGAAGCCUGAUUCUGACUUCCUCUAUGAGUUAUGGAAUAAACCACCUCAAAUGCCACUUGUUUCAAAGCCUUUCUCAGAAACAGAGAUUUAUUUAAAACUGGGUUGAGAAUUGUAAGUGGUAAGGGUGAUUUGAAAAUUGUAGUAAUAAAACUCAAACUACACAGAAUCAGCAGUUACACAAAGGGGUCGGGGGUUUUGGGAUUAUAUUGCAUGAAGCAUAUGACCCCAGAAAGGGUCAGGUUUGGUCAUGUACAUCAAUAGAUGAUGAUGGCAUGCCCACAAACUAGCCACAGAACACAAACACAUAGGGGAAUAUGGGGGUUUGGGAUUCAUAAGUCAACAAAUCACAUAACAAGUGACUGAUAGAGUACAUACAUAAGGGAAAAUAUUAAUUUAGAAGGGGAGAGAGCAGAUUACAGCAUGCUUAGUAAUGUAACUUGAUUGCAUAAACAUAAGCAGAAGCAGACAAGAGUGAAGGAAACUGAAACAACUAAAGAAACAUGUUAUAGGUUAUGCUUGAAGAUUAACUAGGACAUACCAGUAGAGAAGCAAAGUGUAGAAAGAAAGGAAUAAGCAAGAUUCCACAGUCUAGCUCUGGCUUUCAGCCGGAUAGACAAAGCAGUAGCACAAGUAGUAGUAGAAAAAAGAGAGAAAGUUUUGAGUGUAAGUGUGUGUUCUUGAACUCAAUUGUCCGUGUAUUUGAAAAAAAAAGGUUGCAGGGUAUUUAUAGCUUAUGAAAACGAGUGAAAAGUAAGGUAAUAAGUAAAGUCUUAACACAAACAUAGAAACAAUCACAAGUCAGAAUCAAUUAACACAAGUGAUUCCCUUUAAUUAAGGAAUCACUGCUUAAUGGAUACAGAUUGAUUAUUGUCAUAUAAGGGGCAGUAAAAGCAUGAAGUAAACAAUCAAGUCUAAGUACAAAAUAUGCUUAUUUUGGGAAAAAAUUCAGCAAGGUAAACCAUCACAGUAAAGGGAAAGGAAUCAAUUAAUUUUAAACAGGCGAGUGAAAUUAGGGUUCAUAAAAGAAAAGCUUUUGUAAUCAGUCACAAGAUCAAGAUCAAACAAGGAAGAAACUUCAGUAUAUAAUUAGAGUGAACAGAAGCAUCAAACAUGCGAGACCAAACACAUUAGCAAAAGAGAUAACGCAAACAUACAGUUGUGGUAGAAAUAAUCUAGGAUUCAGUAGAAAGUAAAAUAUUCGAAGCACAGUAGUCAAGUAGUCACAUAGAAUCAAAAGUGAAAAAGAACAUAAUAACAGGUAAAGAGAGUCAGAAAAAGUAAAUAUCUCACAGUAGUAAUAGGUGAGAAAAACCCCUUUUAAGAAAUUAGGGCUUCGACAGUAGUCGAGUUUGAGAGAUAAAAAGAACUCAAAUCAGAUAAGUCAAAUAAGGAGAAGAGAGUCAAAAACAAAGAACUUAAAAUAAGCAUACGUUUAGGCAAACAAUUUCAGAACUCGGAUAGGACAAAGAGGGAACGAGGGUUUUCAGCAUGCUGAAAUAAAUAGAAGAACAACAUGAGCAAGUCGUUUUAAACAUAGCAAAAUCACAAACAACAUUAAAAUCAGAGAAGAGAUCUUUUGAAAAACUUAAAGGAAAACCUUAAUCGUCGGAAAAUGAAGAGUCGUUUUGAAAAAAAAAAGUUGAAGAACCUUCGAGAAAACACUUAAGAAAUUCAUAGCAAGCACAGAUCUAUGGUAGAUCUAAAAAAAUGAAAGAUCUUAAAGAUUAAGGUUUCGGAAAACCCAAAAAAGGUGAGAAAGACCUUGAAAUCACCGAUCUAACCAGGAGAGUCAAGGAUCUGCCUUGAAAGUCCAUGAAUGGCUGGAGAAAGGUCAUGGAUGGCCGGAGAAAGGCCAUGAACAGAAGUCGAGCAUGGACUGGACCAGAUCCCUUCGAGGUCUGGCCAUGAAACCAUAGAAUCAAACACCCAGGAGCCAUAUGAGGCUGAUACACAUCUCCAAUGGCCACGAGAGGCCAUGGAUUAGGUAGGGAUUGAGGUAAAUUAGGGUGAAAUUAGAUGGCGGCGGCUAGGGUUCCUGAUGGGUUUCAGAGAAAGUUGAGAGAAGAGGGAUUCAAGGGCGGCG
rnacentral:lncRNA from 1 species